rnacentral:rRNA from 1 species
UACCCGAAUGGGGAAACCCAGUGUGAUUCGUCACACUAUCAUUAACUGAAUCCAUAGGUUAAUGAGGCGAACCGGGGGAACUGAAACAUCUAAGUACCCCGAGGAAAAGAAAUCAACCGAGAUUCCCCCAGUAGCGGCGAGCGAACGGGGAGGAGCCCAGAGCCUGAAUCAGCAUGUGUGUUAGUGGAAGCGUCUGGAAAGGCGCGCGAUACAGGGUGACAGCCCCGUACACAAAAGCGCAUGUGCUGUGAGCUCGAUGAGUAGGGCGGGACACGUGGUAUCCUGUCUGAAUAUGGGGGGACCAUCCUCCAAGGCUAAAUACUCCUGACUGACCGAUAGUGAACCAGUACCGUGAGGGAAAGGCGAAAAGAACCCCGGCGAGGGGAGUGAAAAAGAACCUGAAACCGUGUACGUACAAGCAGUGGGAGCACAGGUUUACCUGUGUGACUGCGUACCUUUUGUAUAAUGGGUCAGCGACUUAUAUUCUGUAGCAAGGUUAACCGAAUAGGGGAGCCGGAGGGAAACC